rnacentral:piRNA from 1 species
AUGGAGGCAAGAAAACUGAUUUAAUGAGC